AACGAACGCUGGCGGCGUGGAUAAGACAUGCAAGUCGAGCGGGAUACACAAGGUAGCAAUAUUUUGUGUGUUCAGCGGCGCAAGGGUGCGUAACACGUGGGUAAUUUGCCAUGAAGUCUGGAAUAACUUGCUGAAAGGCGAGCUAAUGCCGGAUGUGACUUCCGAAGGGCAUCUUUUGGAAUUCAAAGUUGGGGACCGUAAGGCCUGACGCUUCUUGAUAAGCCCGCGGUCUAUCAGCUAGUUGGUGAGGUAACGGCUCACCAAGGCUAAAACGGAUAGCUGGUCUGAGAGGACGACCAGCCACACUGGAACUGAGACACGGUCCAGACACCUACGGGUGGCAGCAGUCGAGAAUUUUUCACAAUGGGCGAAAGCCUGAUGGAGCGACGCCGCGUGGGGGAUGAAUGGCUUCGGCCCGUAAACCCCUGUCAUUUGCGAACAAACCUUACCGGUUAACAACCGGUGAGCUGAUCGUAUCGGAAGAGGAAGGGACGGCUAACUCUGUGC
rnacentral:rRNA from 1 species